CUAUUUAUAGUAAAUCAAAUCCUAACUCUAAUGCCAAUAUUUUAGAAAAUUUCUAAAACAAAUAAAUUUAAUUCUAACUUAAAACUUCCAAAUCCAUAUCUGUCAUUCCCUGGGCCUAAUUUGGAAAAAGUAUUUCUCCAAAAGGGCUCUAAAUUUUUCUCAAAAAAAAAAAUAAAAAGACUAGAGUAUACGAAAAACAUACCAUUGUGUGACUAGACCAGCCAUAUGUACAAAAAAUUCUCCAACCACACCGGUAGAGUCUCCUCUCUAAAUAUACAACGUCAAGAUAUAAAGCGACCUGAAAAUAAUAUCCAACACAUUCACAUAGACAAAAUAUCUACAAUAAUUUAAUCUACAACUUACACUUUAUUCCCCACAA
rnacentral:lncRNA from 1 species